GGUGAACGCUGGCGGCGUGCCUAAUACAUGCAAGUCGAGCGAACGGACGAGAAGCUUGCUUCUCUGAUGUUAGCGGCGGACGGGUGAGUAACACGUGGAUAACCUCCCUAUAAGACUGGGAUAACUUCGGGAAACCGUAGCUAAUACCGGAUAAUAUUUUGAACCGCAUGGUUCAAAAGUGAAAGACGGUCUUGCUGUCACUUAUAGAUGGAUCCGCGCUGCAUUAGCUAGUUGGUAAGGUAACGGCUUACCAAGGCAACGAUGCAUAGCCGACCUGAGAGGGUGAUCGGCCACACUGGAACUGAGACACGGUCCAGACUCCUACGGGAGGCAGCAGUAGGGAAUCUUCCGCAAUGGGCGAAAGCCUGACGGAGCAACGCCGCGUGAGUGAUGAAGGUCUUCGGAUCGUAAAACUCUGUUAUUAGGGAAGAACAUAUGUGUAAGUAACUGUGCACAUCUUGACGGUACCUAAUCAGAAAGCCACGGCUAACUACGUG
rnacentral:rRNA from 1 species